CUCUAUCACCCAGGCUGGAGCGCAGAGGCAUAGCUCAAUGCAGCCUUGAACUCCUGCGCUCAAGUAAUCUGCCCACCUCAGCCUCCUGAGUAGCUGUUUGUACAGGCGUACACUGCCAUGCCUCUCUCCCUCUCUCCUGCUCCACCAUGAUCUAUAGCCAGUUGCCUUGGAAUCUCUGCUGAGUACUUCAUCAAGCACCUGCUGUUUGAAGAGGGAAUAAGCCAGAAUAAAAUUCUCGCUCUUCAGAGUAAUGGAGCAUGAGUCUGCCACACAGAACUUUAGAGAGAGUCCUUUAUUUCAAAGACUGUAAAGUUGGAAGAAUUCAUUCAUCUGCAAAGUCAAAUGUCAAAAGUUGUGCUUCCCACUCCUCAUCAGGCCUGUGGUUAACAAUGCACUCGACUGACAGCUCUGUCAUGCAACAGGGUGCGUGAGAUCGCGAGAGCUGAUUGAUGCCUCUGCCUCUACAGUCUGAAAAGUUGCCAGACCAUAUGCUACUUAGUUUAGCCUGUGUGCAUCCUGCCCUGGGACCUGAUUUCUACUUUAUCUUUAAAAAUAUAAAACCUUGGUGCCCUUUAAGUUCUGCUACUGUCUUAAAGUUUUAAAGAAGACAUCAAUGGGUCCAAUUAAUAAUAAAUGUGGCUUCCAUUUAUGGUGUGCUUACAUUUUGCCAGGACGUCAUCAUCACUUAAUUCUAAAUUAAGUGUCAUCUCACUUAAUUCUAAAAACAACUGCGUGGCCUGGGCAAAAUUAAUCUCCAGUUUUUAGAUUAGGAAACUAAUCCCCAAAGGAGAGAAGUAUCUUGCAGAAUCUAGACCGAUUUGUCUUGUAGAUUUUAUAUUCUUGUUCAAAGCACUUCCUUACAUGGCCUUAAUGGGAGACAUGUAUAACGUAAUAGUGCCACAUUUAGUCAUAUAUAAAGGAUUUUUCAUUCUAGAGCUUUUCCCUAGGUAAUGAGUGUCUCAUAUUGUAUUUAUUACAAAAAAACACAUUAAAUAAAU
rnacentral:lncRNA from 10 species